GACGAACGCUGGCGGCGUGCCUAAUACAUGCAAGUCGAGCGAAUCAAUAGGAGCUUGCUCCUGUUGGUUAGCGGCGGACGGGUGAGUAACACGUGGGCAACCUGCCUGUAAGACUGGGAUAACACCGGGAAACCGGUGCUAAUACCGGAUAAUCCUUUUCCUCUCAUGAGGAAAAGCUGAAAGUCGGUUUCGGCUGACACUUACAGAUGGGCCCGCGGCGCAUUAGCUAGUUGGUGAGGUAACGGCUCACCAAGGCGACGAUGCGUAGCCGACCUGAGCGGGGGAUCGGCCACACUGGGACUGAGACACGGCCCAGACUCCUACGGGAGGCAGCAGUAGGGAAUCUUCCGCAAUGGACGAAAGUCUGAUGGAGCAACGCCGCGUGAGCGAUGAAGGCCUUCGGGUCGUAAAGCUCUGUUGUUAGGGAAGAACAAGUAUCGGAGUAACUGCCGGUACCUUGACGGUACCUAACCAGAAAGCCACGGCUAACUACGUGCCAGCCGCCGCCGUAAAAC
rnacentral:rRNA from 1 species